rnacentral:rRNA from 1 species
AGUGAACGCUGGCGGUAGGCCUAACACAUGCAAGUCGAACGGCAGCACAGUAAGAGCUUGCUCUUACGGGUGGCGAGUGGCGGACGGGUGAGGAAUACAUCGGAAUCUACUUUUUCGUGGGGGAUAACGUAGUGAAACUUACGCUAAUACCGCAUACGACCUACGGGUGAAAGCACGUGAUCUUCUUACCUUUCUCUAUUGAAUGAGUCGAUGUCGGAUUAGCUAGUUGGCUGGGUAGAGGCCCACCAAGGCGGCGAUCCGUAGCUGGUCUGAGAGGAUGAUCAGCCACACUGGAACUGAGACACGGUCCAGACUCCUAAGGGAGGCAGCAGUGGGGAAUAUUGGACAAUGGGCGCAAGCCUGAUCCAGCCAUACCGCGUGGGUGAAGAAGGCCUUCGGGUUGUAAAGCCCUUUUGUUGGGAAAGAAAAGCAGCAGGUUAAUACCCCGCUGUUCUGACGGUACCCAAAGAAUAAGCACCGGCUAACUUCGUG